rnacentral:rRNA from 1 species
GAUGAACGCUGGCGGCGUGCCUAAUACAUGCAAGUAGAGCGAUGAGAGGGGAACCUGCCCUCCUGGACGAGUUGCGCGCGGGUGAGUAACGCGUAUGGAAACUGUCCGGUAGAGGGUGAUAACAAUUGGAGACAACAGCUCAUAUCGCGUGACAACAGUUAAUGCAUGAUAACUGAUAAAAAAGGACAGCUGUUCUACCACCAGAUGGACCCGCGUUGUCUUAGCUAGUUGGUGAGGUAACGGCUCACCAAAGCGACGAUACAUAGUCGACCUGAGAGGGGGGUCGGCCACCCUGGGACUGGGACACGGCCCCGACUCCUACGGGAGGCAGCCGUAGGGGAUCUUCGGCAAUGGACCGAAGUCUGGCCGGGCCACCCCGCGGGAGUGAAGGAGGUUUUCCGAUCGUUAAGAUUGGUUGUUUGGGGAGGACGAAUGUGGGAGUUGACAGUGCACGCCUUGACGGUAUCUUACCAGAAAGCCACGGCUAACUACGUG